UUAAUUAUGUAUUUGGAAGGAAAAAAAAAUAGCAGCACCAUUAAUGGGCGCGUAGUCCAACAAGUUUCCAAAAACUAAAAUCAUUUUUAAUUUGAUAAAAGCUUUGCAAGAGAGAUCCAGAACCUCACACAGAGAUAACAUCUCAUUUUCGUCUCUCUCUGAAUCUCGCCCUUGCUCCGCCGGCGUCUCCUCUCCUCCGCUUUCUCCGAUCUCCUCCGUGGUGUUCGUUUUUUUGGGUGAAUUCUGUUUUGCUCUUGCUUCCAAGUCCUUGUAAGGAUUCGUCCUUUUCUCUCACACAGUCUCUUUGCGCUAGCUGUGAUUUUAGAAAAAGGAAUGAAGAGACAAUACAAUCAUGUUGAAUGAAGAGGUAUGUUGAUGGUUUCUACUUUCUUGCAGUGGCAUUGCAAUUAUUAAUUACUCAUUGUCAAAUGUAAGAGCUUUAAUGUUAUAAUUUCUAUUUAAACCAAAUGUAAUAUGUGGAAUAUGAUUGCAAUUGCCAAGUCAACUUUUUGUUCUGUUUUCCUGAAGUAAUUAGGUCAGUUCUGCCUAAGUCUCUCUAUAUACCUUUAGGCCUGAUCAUUGUAGGGUUGAUAGAAAACUUCUCAUCAUUGUAUGUGCUUGUAUUGUAAGUGACUGAGGUAGAGGUUGAAGAGACUUUCUUGAGUGUCUUGAGUAUGUAAUCUCAUCUUUGUCAAUGGAUGUAGGAUUAACACGAUUUGGUUAAGUCCGAACCAAGUAAACUAGUGUUUUCUGGUGUUUGAAUAAAUUCCUAUUAGCUGCCUUGUCAUUUGAUAUUGUUUGUUAUGUUCUGUGUGUCUCUAAUCUGAUUUUGCAGGGGAUAUUAACACAACACAAUACGUUUGCACUUACAUUGGAAUUAAGAAUCUGUGUGUUUCUCACAUUAGCCAAGUUGCAGGAAAGAUCUUUCUGCUGUCUGUUAAUUGUAGAUGAUUUUGUUUAUUAUCACCCUGCUUUAAGGGAUUUAGAAUGAACUAAUUAAGAAUCUUUGAGAUUCCAAGCCCUUUCAAUACCGAGUGUGAGAGGUAUAUUUAAACACAUUUGGAGAUUUUACAAAAGGCAAUCAUUCUUGAUCCAAAAUGUACGAGAUACUUGUACAUAAGGGAAAGUGAAGACCUUUUAGUCCAUUUUUUUUAUUGAGUUAAAUACCCCAAGUGUUGUGGUAACAUUUUUAGUUGGUGUAGUAUUUGGUGUAUGGAUCUUUAAAUUAAUAUUUGUAAAAUUAUAUGAAUUUUUUAUCUACAAUUUUAUCUAACUGUAAUAUUUAUUAAAUUAUAAUUUCAAGGCACUAUAUAUAUAUAUUAA